UUUGUAUUUCAAAAUGUUUAUUUAAAAUAUAUUUGAAAAUGAGUACUCUCUUCCUCCAGAGUUGUCACGUGGCGACGGCCCCAUCAUCCAAACCAAAUCAUCUUCAUCGUCUUCCUUCUUCCCUCUGCUGCACCAAAGCACAGCAACAGCAACAGCUCCAAGAACUACGGGUGUGCACCAACCGUACCUGCCGCAGACAAGGAUCCUUCCAAACUCUAGAAACUCUCUCCGGCAUCGCUCCUCCAAACGUUUCUGUAAAAUCCUCCGGCUGCUUAGGCUGCUGCGGAGCUGGCCCCAACCUCGUCUUCCUUCCAGAUGGCCUCAUCAUCCGCCAUUGCGGCACGGCUUCUCGUUGUUCGGAGGUCAUGGUAAGUCUGUUUGGUGGUGGUGGAGGAGAUAAUAAUCAUAAUUCCAACACUAGUUUGGAUGCUCUUGCUUUGAGGAAGAGAGCUGAUGUUGAGUUUCAAAACAAAAAUUUCGCUGAGGCCGAGCUUUUGCUCUCGCAGGCUAUAGAUUUAAAACCAUUUGGUGGCUUGCAUGUCACAUUCAAAUGCAGGUCAUUCGUAAGGAUGGAAUUAGGCAACUACUCGGGUGCCCUCGAAGAUGCAAAUGAGGCUUUGGCAUUAGCUCUCGGGUAUUCGGAGGCCUAUAUCUGCCAAGGUGAUGCAUUUUUGGCAUUGAACAAAUUUGAUUUGGCAGAGCAGUCUUAUUUAACAUCUUUAGAUAUAGAUCCUUCGAUUCGAAAUUCUAAAUCAUUCAAGGCUCGAAUAACAAAGCUUCAGGAAAAACUUGCUUCUGUUAAUACAUCAUAGGAUUUGGCUUAGUAAACUCAAUUACAGUAUUGGCUAGAGGAAUGGAUUUUUUAAAUAUUUACAGAUUACACAGUUGGUCAAAAGGCUUGAAAAUCUGAACACAAAAUGGAUGCCCCGGAUCUUGAAUUCUUUGACAAAGUGUCAGUGUCUAGUAAAUGGAUGAGGGCAGCACUGCCAUAUGUAGUCACCCAUAGGAGUUUAUUCACAUAGUCUAUGACCCGACAAGUCGAAUCGGGAAAAGUCUACUCUUCUCCCUGUAAGCUGAUGUUAGUUGUUGGCUAGGUAGAACCCUGAUUCAAUUUACCCAUAGAACUAAAAUUUCUUUAAUGGGUGGUAAAUUGAUGAUAUAUUUGUAACAUUUCCUUUUCAAUUUAUUCAUUAUCUUUGAA